rnacentral:lncRNA from 1 species
UCCUGUCUUGUAAUUUCAUCAUCCUGUUCUUCAGGCGGGCUCCUGACUUUUAAUUUCAUCACCCUAUUCUUCAGGUGGGCUCCUGUCGUGCAAUUUCAUCACUUUGUUCUUCAGGCGAGCUCCUGACUUUCAAUUUCAUCACCCUAUUCUUCAAGCGGGUUCCUGAAACUAAAAUCAAAACUAGAACGAAAAUUAAUCAAAAUCAAAACAAGAACUAAAACUAUCCCACACAAAGAUUAUCAUAAGGCAGUAUUUCAUUUUGAAAGCGUGGUCCCAUAUUUCAGGAGGGACCCGAGGAGGGUCCUGAACAGAAAGUAAAAUCUCAUUUUUCGGGAGGUUCCUGGACAGAAAGUAAAAUCCCAUUUUUUAGGAAGGUCCUGAACAGAAAGUAAAAUCCCAUUUUUCAGGAGGGUCCUGAACAUAAAGUAAAAUUUUAUUUUUCAGAAGGGUCCUGAACAGAAAGUAAAAUCUCAUUUUUCAGGAGGGUCUUGAAUAUAAAGUGAAAUCUCAUUUUUCAGAAGGGUCCUGAACAGAAAGUAAAAUCUCAUUUUUCAGGAGGGUCCUGAACAUAAAGUAAAAUUCCAUUUUUCAGAAGGGUCCUGAACCCCUCCUGAACAGAAAGUAAAAUCCCAUUUUUCAUGAGGGUCCUAAACAUAAAGUGAAAUUCUAUUUUUCAGGAGGGUCCUGAACAUAAAGUGAAAUAUGAUUUUUCAGGAGGGUCCUGAACAGAAAGUAAAAUCCCAUUUUCCAGGAGGGUCCUGAACAGAAAUUAAAAUUUUAUUUUUCAGGAGGGUCCUGAACAUAAAGUGAAAUCUCAUUUUUAGGAGGGUCCUGAACAGAAGGUAAAAUUCUAUUUUUCAGGAGGGUCCUGAAUAGACAGUAAAUUUUAUUUUUCAGGAGGGUCCUCAACAACAGUAAAAUCUCAUUUUUCAGGAGAGUCCUGAACAGAAAGUAAAAUUCUAUUUUUCAAGAGGGUCCUGAACAUAAAGUGAAAUCUCAUUUUUCAGGAGGUCCUGAACAGAAAGUGAAAUCCCAUUUUUCAGGAGGGUCCUGAACAGAAGGUAAAAUCUCAUUUUUCAUGAGGGUCCUGAACAUAAAGUAAAAUCUCAUUUUUCAGGAAGGUCCUGAGCAAAAAGUAAAAUCUCAUUUUUCAGAAGGGUCCUAAACAUAAAGUGAAUUCCCAUUUUCCAGGAGGGUCCUGAAUAGAAAGUAAAUUCUAUUUUUUAGGAGGGUCCUGAACAUAAAGUGAAAUCUCAUUUUUCAGGAGAGUCCUGAACAGAAAGUAAAAUCUCAUUUUUCAGGAGGGUUCUGAACAUAAAGUAAAAUCCCAUUUUUCAGGAAGAUUUUGAACAUAAAGUGAAAUCCCAUUUUUUAGGAGGGUCCUGAACAUAUAGUGAAAUACUAUUUUUCAGGAGGGUCCUGAACAGAAAGUAAAAUCCCAUUUUUCAGGAGGGUCCUGAACAUAAGUGAAAUCCCAUUUUUCAGGAGGGCCCUGAACAGAAAGUAAAAUCCCCUUUUCCAGGAGGGUUUUGAACAUAAAGUAAAAUCUUAUUUUUCAGGAGGGUCCUGAACAUGAAAGUAAAAUCCAUGGAUGUGCAUUUCUAAUAGUAGUUGAAUUAAGUGAAGCGAAUUUACUUCUGUUUUAACAAAAAAAAUUGUCAGUUACAAACUUUGUGUGGUUUGCAGCACUUGGCUUUCCUGACACCAGUUGCUAUGUUCAUUCCCUUCAUUUUGUUUUAGAUUGCUGGCACUUGCCCCUACUUUAUCAUGGUAAUGACUCUGAAACAAACACAGUAUCUCUGCUUCGCCAUGCUCCUCAGAUAAACCCUUUGAACCUCGGUAUUUACAUGAGUUCCCAAACUUAUCUAUUGACAAAACUUUUUGCAUGCCUUGUUCUGGCUUUCAAUCUUAUUUCUUUCAUGUGCUGGCCCUUUUUCUUGCUUUGUGCAAUUGAAGAAGCUGGUAGCCAAUUUUGAAAUCUUUUCACACUUGUUUUGACAUGGACUUGACUCAAAGACAAGAGAAAAAUGACAACAAUUUUUGUUUUAUUUGGAUAACUAACUCAACGAUAUAAAAAUAUAACUAAAGAGAAGAAAGAAACAACAAUGAAUGUCCCCGUUGAAAAAGAUGAAAGAAAAGUUUAUUUGAAAAUGACAGUCAACUCUAAUGAUUAUGAUAUACAUAUCGAAUUAAACUUCCUGAUCUUUAUAUCCAAAACUUUCUACCAAUUGUUGUUGAGUUAAUGACCUCGAAAUUGAGUUGCUUCCUUAGGCCAAUUGCAUUUAAGACCUUAUUCAGCUAGUGGCCCCUUGAAUGGAUUUUGCCAACAAGUCUCUCUCAUUUUCUUUUUCACAGCUCACUAUUGCCCUGUGGUGUCCGUGAGGGCUUUUCACCAAUGAAACUCUCUUAUUUUCAUUUGUCUCAACUCACCAUCGUCUUACAGUGCCCGUGAGUAUUUUCACCGAUAAGACUCUCUCAUUGUUAUCUUCCUCAGCUUACCAUCGUCUUACGGUGCCCGUGAGAGUUUUCACCGAUAAGACUCUCUCCUUGUUAUCUCCCUCAGCCUACCAUCAUCUUACGGUGCCCGUGAGAGUUUUCACUGAUAAGACUCUCUCAUUUUUAUUUCCCUCAGCUUACUAUCAUCUUACGGUGCUCGUGAGGUUUUCAUCGAUAAGAUUCUCUCAUUUUUAUUUCUCUCAACUUAACAUCGUCUUACGGUGCCCGUGAGGGUUUUCACCAAUAAGACUCUCUCAUUUUUAUUUCUCUCCUGAUUCUUUAUGCUGAGGAAGGCAAGUUCUCCGCCAAAUAUGUCAUUAUAUCCAUUGCAUGCUUAGCCUUAAAAUCCUCAAAGAUUGAUCUGAAGGUCUUUCUUUGGUUAUAGCUUUUGGAUAGGGUUAGAAAAAAAUGAUGGCAUGAGGCCCAAACGACGCUUGAAGUGGGAUGGGACUUACAACUUUUGGAAUCAACUCAAAUAAUGAAGAUUAACUCAUGUACAAUUUCUUUUGACUGGCCAAUUCAAAAUUGCUCAUUUGGGUUGACCCAGCCUGAAGUAGGGCAAACUACAUAUCUCACCCCCAGGAGAAGAGAAUCAGUUCACGCGUAGUUUUGACAGCUUGUUCUUUUGCUUAAUUCUGAUUUUUUUUACUUUUGUUUCUUUUAUUGACUUUUUCUUUUGGGACCUUUCUGACUCUAUUUUUCUUGACUAAGACUAAAGCUCAAAUGGGGUAAACAAAGGAUGACACGAUGUUUGGAUAGCAGAAUAAAAUGCCUUCGUCAUAUCAAUCCUUGAAAAUGCAAGUACAUAUCAUGUAAUAUGAAAGUGAGAGAUGAAGAUCAUUUGUGACAUUUUUUAAGCAUUAACUUUAACUAAGUCUGUGCGUCACUACUUUUGCACUUUGUUCAACAUAUCACUCCACUUUUGUUGUACAUUCCUCACAUCGAAUGACUCAUACUUUCGUGGAGUUGAUUUUUCUGUCCCUCAGUAUCACACAUCCGCUAUUUGACCUAAUUGAGAAAUAUUUUUCAAUUGAUGACCAAGUUAUUCUUGUGAUUCUCAAAAUAAUUGCCUUAAUUUUAAAAGAAGGCUUGAACUUGUCAACAAAUGUCUCAGCACACUACCUAUUUUCUCAUAUGCACUCUUUUUCUAACUUUAACCCUCUGAUUCAAUGUUCAUGCUUAAAUUAAAUUUUAAGAUCAGGCUGAAAAUUCCGCUAGCAUGUCAUAUCACUAGAAUUAACCGAAAAUGUACUGUGUAAAGAAAAUAAACAACACAUUUAAAACACAAAAGAAAAAGGGACACUUCAUUUAAUUAAAAUAAAAGAUAUAGAAGGGUUUGAACAUAAUGAAAAAUGGACAAAACAAGAUAGAUCCUGAACUACAACCCUGAAAUAAUUCGGAUAAUAGAAAAUAAAGCAACACAGACUACCAGACCUCUUCCUAGUAGGGAGAGGGGUGACUUCUCAAUUGCUCGACCUGACAUCUUAGCCACUGGUUUAUAUAUCAUCAUGAUUAGAGUUUUCCUCACUGUCAAUGUUCUGCAUCAUAAUCAAUUUGUCUUGAAUCAUCUUUUCAAUUUCUCUUUUCAACGCACUGAAAAUCUUCAAUACUGUGACCCUGAACAUCAGAAUGAUAUACACAUCCUACAUUAGGAUGAAAACUUCUUGAAUGCGGGUCAGGAGUAUACCCAAGAAGAGGAGUGAUCAUGCCUCGCUGUGCCAAUCUCUGAAAUAAACUGGCAUAUGACUCUUCAAUUGGUGUGAAACUAUCCCUCAAUUUCUGCCUCAUUUCAUUGUUUAACUUGGAUCAAACAUCGGGCAUAGAAGGGCUUUGGUAUAUUUGUGGGAUUGGAGGAUGACUUUGAAGAGUUGGUGCGCACCAUUGUGGGUAAGGAGGGAGUUGAACAUAUGGUUGUGCGUAAUAUACUAGAUAUGAAGGUGGGGAAACAGAGUAUAUUGGAUUUUAAGAGUGAUUAUAGAGAGUUUAGGUAUGAACUUGGGCUUGAGACUGACGGCAAUGACGACGUUGUCUUCUUGGAUGUGCCCGUUCUCUAACUACAAUAGCAGUGUCAUCUUUUUCAUUCUUCUUCCCUAUGGAUUCCCUCAAUUGAUUGCAAUAUUGUCCCAAAUGUUUCACGGAUUUCUCAUGCCCAUCUUGCUCCUCAAAUUUCGACAUCUCAAAGAUUGGAGAAAGUUUAGCACUUGAAGGCAUGCCCCAGUCUUUGUAUAAAAUAUCUUCUUUACCCGUAGGUCCUAGAGAAUUUUUCAUAGCAUUUUCUGCACUCUUCAUUUUUCCAACCAUUUUCUCCGACUCUUCUGGCAAACUAAACUUCUUGUUAAGAAAUUUUGGUGGUCCAGUUAACUUAAAAGCAGGCUCAGAAGUAUAACAAUGAUCACCAAAAGUAUUAAAUAUAAGUUCACUAGCAGCAUGGGGACGCACAAUCGUGGGGCGAGCCAGUGCGAAAGUCCCAGUAGAGGAUAGAGAAACAAGAUCGCAAACGACAUGUGGUGUUGCGAAUGUAGCAGGCUUAUGCUGAGGAGCUAUAGGAAAAGUGGUGAAAGUAUUGAGAUGCUUUUGGCUUGGAAUGAAUUCUGAGUCAUGUUGUGGUGCAUCAACAACAGUAGAAAACUGACUUUGAAAUUUUGGUGGAAAACUCGAGGUAUUUGUAGGAUCAAUAAAGGGAAAUGGAGGAGGAGGCAGUCCACUGGCCCAAGCUCGAUACAUUUCUGUCAUUUGUUGUCUUAGCCUCCUAAUCUCUUGCUUCAAACUCUCAUUUUCCUGAUUCUUUGUUUGAUCCAUGAUGUCACUCUCUAUAUCUUGGUUGGACACAACUAACCCUUUGGAUUUGGUGUAAUGUGAAGGACCAGCCAGAAUGCCACAAACCAACCACCUUAAACUGACUCAACAAAAAACAACAAAUGUGUUGGAGUUCAACACUUUUUCAAAACCUCUUUUUCCUUUUUUUUUUUGGAAAAGAUCGACGAACCCAAGAAGGGCGCCUAUGUAUCUCACCCCCUAGAGAGGAGAAUCAGGCGUGCUUAGUUCGUGAAGUCUUGCCAAAAUGGCCAAUUAAACUCUUUUUCCUUUUCUUCUUUUCUUCUUUUUUUUUUUUGAAACUUUGAGAAGAGAAAAUUACAAAUUGUCAAAAGAAUUGAAAAAAAUCUUUUUGAAUUUUUCAACUUUAACAUCUCUAUACAACGUGAAUACUAUGAUUACCAAAGAAAAAUCUUUUUGGAUUUUUGAUUUUGAAUUUCAUAAGGAAGUGAAUCUUGAAACUACCAAAGGAAAAUCUUUUUGUAGUUUUAUUUUAAAAGAUGUAUAUGAAACACCUACUCUAAUAAAAAGUGAAGAAAAUCUUUUUUGUUUUUGAAUUUUUCAAAUAAGAUCCCCGAACCAACAAUAGGCUGCCUACGUUUCUCACUCCCGAGAGAGGAGAAUCAGGGGUGCGUAGUUCGUCCAGAUUGGACAAUAUAGGAUUAAAGAACAAACAAAACCUUGACUUGAGACCUGAAUAAAGACAAACGAGUGAAGAACGUAAAUAAAAUCUUUUUGGGGUUUUUAAUUUUGACACAUGACACCUACAACUAGGAAAGAAAAAUCUUUUUUUUUGAGACAUUUUUGCUAUAUGAAAUGUAUAAAACUUCUACCAUUUUUGAAUUUUCUUUUAUAAAACUCCUAUUAAAAGAAAUCUUUUUCUUUUUUUUUUUGAAAUUUUCAAAUUACGGAAGCUUACUAAAGAAACAAAGAAAAAUCUUUUUGAUGUUUUUAUUUUUGACAAAAUGAGUGUAAAAGGUAAAAAAAAUAAUUUUUUUGAAUUGUGAAAAACAAAAGCCAUAAGGAACACUAAAAACUACGAAACCCAUUUUGACUCACUUCUUCUUCUUUUUUUCAAACAUACCUUACUUCUAACACAUGCUUUCCCUGAAUCAAUCCGUCAAGUAACCACGUUACCCUAAAAAAAUGCAACAUUUAGCAUGUAGGGAUGCUUUAGAGGUAAGUCUCCUACCAAGGACCAAGUGGUCCCCCUAGGUCUCAAUAUGAUGCACGUAAGUAUGACCUAAAGGCUGACCAACGUCGGGGUUCACUAACAAGGCUAUUCGGGGGAGCGUAUGGCCGAUAGUGGCUGCGACAGCUUUCCACCCACUCCAUACGUCCGAUGGCUCCCCCUCCUAAAUUAAGGGUGACUCAACUAGAGUUCGUGUACAUGACAUGCACUCUGAGACUUGCUGCAAAAAGAAUUGUCUCGGGUUAUGCAAAUGAUGUCAGAUAUAAAACGGUAAGACAUAAAGAAAAAUCAUAAACAAGGAGCACGUAGGCACUCAACGAUGAUAAAAUAAACACUAAUUAUAACACAAACAAUGUCUAUACACCCUUAAUGCCAAACUAAGCCGAUACAACUUCAAAAAUAAGCUUGAAUUCUGAAAACGAUUCCCCAUCAGAGUCGCCAAAGAUGUCACACCCCUUUUCAACUCCCAAAAGAAUAGUUUUAAGUUUUUAUUAUUAAAGUGACAAAAAGAUUGAAAAUUUGUUUCGAAAAUGGAUUAUUUACAUUUUUCAUUCAGAGUCGCCACUUGACAUAAAUCGGGUGUGCCAAGUCACCUUUGGAAAUCCUUUUCAAAACAGUUUGACUCUAGAAACUGAUUCGCGAAUAGAGAUUCUAGAUAAGGAAUUUUGUUGACCGAGGGGAAGGUGUUAAGCAUCCCUCGAUCCCGUGGUUCGACCACGGUCGCUUGGUGGAGAGUAUCGACUAAUUUGACAUCACGAAUGUAUAAACCACACAAAAAUACUUAAAACAAUCAAUCAAACACACAAAAAUAAAACAAAUCCAAAAUAUAGUGUUCAGUCCAAUUAUACAGUUCAAAAAUAGAAAAAAUGCAAAAAUAUAAAUCUUAUUCUAAGUUAAUCCUUAAACCACGGUCCAAUGCCUUACCAGAUGCCUCGGGCCUUGAUCACAAGCCUCCUUUGCAUACGUGAUACUUCGGAGCAUUCCUCGGUGAAUAAGUACAAUAUAAUCUCGAGGCAUUCCCAGCGAAUGAAUACAUCUUCAAAUCUUGCGCGAUAAAAUAGAAAGAACUAUUCACAUGCACAUUCAAACAUUCAACAAAACACCAUUCCUCAAAUUUGCCUACCCGACUUAGCAUUUUCCUACUAGAUUCGGUUUAUCACAAUUCCAACAAAUUCAAUAUAAUUGAAGAUCCAAAAAAUUAGCAUGAAUUCACUUCAUCAUGUUUAACCCCUCCCAAAAUUCCUUUUAACACAUGAAAAUAGUUAUCAAGCCAUAUCAACAUCGAUUUCAUACUAACAACUAGCUAUUCAAAUAAACAGCACCAAGUAUCAAUAAAAUUCUCAAUCAGUCAUCGUCAAAUACAUAAUGAUAAUAAGAGAGUAGAGUCGAGAAUUGGACCUCAAAAGUUUUUGAUUAACUUAAAAAGAAAGAGGAGGGCCACUCCGAGAACCUCGACGAACACUAAAAUCUCAACUAUGAAUCAAUUCGAGCACAAAAAUUCCUUGAAAUCCAAUUCGAAAAGAGAACCCAUGAAGGACAGUGAACGAACUCUAACUUGGUAUUGAGAAACGGAGACCCGAAACAGACCACAAUGAACCCACCUAGAUAAACAAUGUUCCCACCACUCCGAUAAGCUCGGACAGCAGCGGAUAUCGAUGAACAAGGCAGAUUCCGAUGAUUUUAACAUUCUCAGGCUGAAUUCAUCUGUGGAAAGCGACAACGACAAGCACAGCCCGUUCCGAAAAACUUUAGUCUGUUUUGACGUUCUCCGGCGACAAACUGACGCGACCUCUACCUCUCCUUUCGAUUCUCACCUCUAUCUCUCACUCAAUUUCACCCUCUCUUCCCCUUCGAUUCUCCAAUCUCUCUCAAAUCUGUGUGUUUUAGGUGUGUGUAUAUCAGUGUCCUGUGAGAAAGAAAAAAUGAAGUCUCUGGUAGCGUGUGUACCAGUGAAGAUGAUCGUGUGAGUAUGAAAAUGGAGGGUGUGUAUGUGAUGUGCGUGAUUUGGUUGUGUGCCUAAGAUGAUGAAGAAACAGCCAAAAAGAAAAUCAGCAAGAAAAACCCGAUCCCCCCUAUAUCCGUGCACUGUGUGUAUAUAAAUACCCAAAAGGAAAAUGUUUUUUCUCUUAGUGGUAGGGCCCCCCUUCCCUUUUUUUUGUAUGUGUAUAUCAAUGGAAAGUGAGGUGUGUGAGUGAAGGGAAAUCAGUCCCCC